AUUGACCGCUGGCGGCAGGCCUAACACAUGCAAGUGGAACGCAUGGCGGACGGGCGAGUAAUGUCUGGGAAACUGCAUGAUGGAGGGGGCUAAAAAAUGGAAACGGUAGCUAAUACCGCAUACCAUCGGAUGUGCCCAGAUGGGAUUAGCUAGUAGGUGGGGUAAAGGCUCACCUAGGCGACGAUCCCUAGCUGGUCUGAGAGGAUGACCAUCCACACUGGACCUGGGACUCGGUCCAGACUCCUACGGGAGGCAGCAGUGGGGAAUAUUGCACAAGGGGCGCAAGCCUGAUGCAGCCAGGCCGCGUGUAUGAAGAAGGCCGUCGGGUCGUAAACGACUGUAAUGUGUGAGGCGGUACCAACAGAAUAAGCCCCGGCUAACUUCGUGCCAGCAGCCGCGGUAAUAC
rnacentral:rRNA from 1 species